AGACUCUCAGUUCUUGAGAUGAGGGACCCGAUUCAAACUGAUUGGCCAUGAUUCUUCCCCCAAACCCUAUGCUUGUACUUGCGAAGGUGUUCAUCUGGUUGAACUGCCUUUCUGGAUUAGGAUUAGCAAAGGUGUUUUGAUGAUGAUCUUAUCUCUUUGAAUUGGGAGGAACGAAGGUGUUUUGCUAACAAACUUCCUUUUUUUGGGGCUGCUCUAGCUCUAAUCGCAAUCUUUU
rnacentral:lncRNA from 1 species